GCAUUUUUAAUUACCAGCACUUUUUAUCCUUGCCUGAAAAAAUCACCAACCUUUUUACGCGAUGGUGCAUAUGGGUGAUACACCCCCAGUUACUCAGUUGGUCACUUGUCCAAGUGGCUACUAGCUUUGUUCAUAAUAUUAGACCAUCGAAACUUUAUUUUUAUGCUUGAAAAAGUCACCAACCUUUUUACGCGACGGUGCACAUGGGUAAUACACCUCCGGUUACUCAGUUGGUCACUUGUCCAAGUGACUAUUAGCUCAGUUCAUAGCCUUAGAUCAUAGGAACAGGUUGUGUUUUGUGCUUUUUGAUUUGCUGAGUUUUUCUUUUUCUUUUUCCUUUUUAUAACAAUUUG
rnacentral:lncRNA from 1 species